UACGAAGGGGGCUAGCGUUGCUCGGAAUCACUGGGCGUAAAGGGUGCGUAGGCGGGUUUUUAAGUCAGGGGUGAAAUCCUGGAGCUCAACUCCAGAACUGCCUUUGAUACUGGCGAUCUCGAGUCCGGGAGAGGUGAGUGGAACUGCGAGUGUAGAGGUGAAAUUCGUAGAUAUUCGCAAGAACACCAGUGGCAAAGGCGGCUCACUGGCCCGGUACUGACGCUGAGGUGCGAAAGCGUGGGGAGCAAACAGG
rnacentral:rRNA from 1 species